rfam:Sphingomonas hengshuiensis strain WHSC-8, complete genome.
AAAUAGGCGGCCUUCGCCGCCACCCACAGGUUGAGAUGCUUAGUCU